rnacentral:rRNA from 1 species
AAGGAAGCCUUUGCACCCCUCCAAGGGGGCUCUCGCGACUCUAAACAAGGAGGGAAGCAAGUGACGAAGCCUGCGGGCGGAGUCGCAACACGAUCGAAUUGCGGGGAAGUCCUAAAGCCUCGGGGUACUAACCCACUGCAGGGAUGCAGUGGGGGCCUGUGUUAAUCGCACGGGGUACAGUAACAACCCCCGGGGAUCUGGUGCUCGGUGCCGGAAUGGACGAUCCGCAGCGAAGCCCCUAGGCCAGGGGAACGUUCACAGACUAAGUGGUUGUGGGUAGGAGCUGCUCCUGCUUAAGAUAUAGUCGGGCCGGCGCGGAAACGCGCUGGGGACUCGCAAGACGUAAACCGCUCCGUAGGUGAACCUGCGGAGGGAUC